rnacentral:rRNA from 1 species
GACGAACGCUGGCGGCGUGCUUAACACAUGCAAGUCGAACGGAAAGGCCCUGCUUUUGUGGGGUGCUCGAGUGGCGAACGGGUGAGUAACACGUGAGUAACCUGCCCUUGACUUUGGGAUAACUUCAGGAAACUGGGGCUAAUACCGGAUAGGAGCUCCUGCUGCAUGGUGGGGGUUGGAAAGUUUCGGCGGUUGGGGAUGGACUCGCGGCUUAUCAGCUUGUUGGUGGGGUAGUGGCUUACCAAGGCUUUGACGGGUAGCCGGCCUGAGAGGGUGAGCGGCCCCACUGGGAUUGAGAUACGGCCCAGACUCCUACGGGAGGCAGCAGUGGGGAAUAGUGCACUAUGGGCGGAAGCCUGAUGCAGCAACGCCGCGUGCGGGAUGACGGCCUGCGGGUUGUAAACCGCUUUCGCCUGUGACGAAGCGUGAGUGACGGUAAUGGGUAAAGAAGCACCGGCUAACUACGUG